rnacentral:rRNA from 1 species
AUGGCACUCGUCGUGCUCGUAAGACUAGCUCUGUGGCUUCUGGGCUCCUGCCUGGAGCUUGCCGCCCUAGUGCUCUUCCGGGGCCUCGCCCUCCUCGCCGUCGCCGCCGUCGACCUGGUCAGGCUGCCGGGACAGGCGGCAGACGCGGCGCUCAACGCGACCAAGGGCGUGCUCGAAGCGGCGGUCGAGUUCGUCUUCGGCCUAGUUUGGGACGUGGCGGUGGCCGUCGUCUCGGCGUUUCUCGAGUCGCUCUGGAGCGCGGUGGCCGGCACGGUGGAGUUCGCCGCGUCUACGGUUGUGGAGCUCAUGGAGGCAGCACGGGACGGCAGCGAGGAGGCGGCCAAAGCGCUGACGGAGGCGCUGGAGGGCGCGGCGGAUGCGGUGGCCGGCACGCUGGUGAAGCUCGCGGAGAACUACACGGAUGCUCUUGUGCACCUCUUGCAAAACCUCGUCUGA